rnacentral:rRNA from 1 species
UAUGGAAGCUUGCUUCCACUGAGAAGAUAGUGGCGAACGGGUGAGUAACGACGUGGGGUAACCUGCCCAUAAGAGGGGGGAGUAACAUCCGGAAACGGGUGCUAAUACCGCAUAGUUUUCUUGAUCGCAUGAUUGGGAAAGGAAAGACGGCCUUUGUGCUGUCGCUUAUGGAUGGACCCGCGGCGUAUUAGUUAGUUGGUGAGGUAACGGCUCACCAAGACGAUGAUACGUAGCCGACCUGAGAGGGUGAUCGGCCACAUUGGGACUGAGGCACGGCCCAAACUCCUACGGGAGGCAGCAGUAGGGAAUCUUCCGCAAUGGACGAAAGUCUGACGGAGCAACGCCGCGUGAGUGAAAGAAGGUUUUCGGAUCGUAAAACUCUGUUGUCAGAGAAGAACAAGUUGGAGAGUAACUGCUCCAGCCUUGACGGUAUCUGACCAGAAAGCCACGGCUAACUACGUGCCAGCCGCCGC